GGAUGACUAAGCCCGACUUAGAUCGACCCGCGAAAUUUCCCUGACACGGAAGAGGUCACAGGUUCAAUCCCUGUAUCGUCCACCA
rnacentral:tRNA from 1 species